ACAACUACCUCACAGGAGGUUACAGCAAGGAGGGUGGUGGUGUCUUUUCUCAGGUGACAAGUGACAGGACACAAGGAAAUGGUCUCAAGUUGC